GCGAGUGCAUCCCAUACACUAAGUCAACUGUCAGAUUCCAAAUCCGUAUCUGGUGAAGAGGAUUUUUUGGUCUUAACUAGCAGCAAGUCCAUUGCUGAACUUAGUGAUAUUAAGAAGGACUGUGUGUGUGUCGUGUAUGGAACCAUACUCCCUAUGGAAGAAGGUGUGGACUGGUGGUAUACUGCCUGUAGAUGCAGUCGUAAGGUGUAUGCUGAUGAAAGGAUGUUUUUCUGCGAGGGAUGUAAUCGCCAUGUUAUUGCAGUUUACCCAAGGUUCCGUCUUCAAUUGAGGGUGGAAGAUAACUCUGGCAGUGCUAAUUUCAUCCUCUUUGACAAGGAAGCCACAGCACUGCUUG